rnacentral:ncRNA from 1 species
CCAUUGGCAGUGCAUCGUUGAACUUUGGUAUCACAUCUCUUAUGCGCAGACGGGUGAGUAAAGCGUAAGAACCUGCCCUUGGGAGGGGAAAAACAGAUGGAAACGGCUGCUAAUACCCCGUAGGCUGAGGAGCAAAAGGAGGAAUCCGCCCGAGGGGCUUGCAUCUGAUUAGCUAGUUGGUGAGGCAAUAGCUUACCAAGGGGAUGAUCAGUAGCUGGUCCGAGAGGAUGAUCAGCCACACAAGGACCGAGACACGGGCCAGACUCCUACGGGAGGUAGCAGUGGGAAUUUUCCGCAAUGGACGAAAGAAUAUGGUG